GAAUGGGGCUGGCUGAGCACCGUGGGUCGGCGAGGGCCCGCCAAGGAAGGAGCGACCGACCGAGCCAGGCGCCCUCCGCAGACCUCCGCGCAGCGGCCGCGGGCGCGAGGGGAGGGGUCUGGAGCUCCCUCCGGCUGCCUGUCCCGCACCGGAGCCCGUGGGGUGGGGAGGUGUGCAGCCUGUGACAGACAGGGGCUUAGAGAUGCAAACAGACUCAGGGAGAGAAACAGAAGCUGAUUCUGUGACAGAAGCAGAUCUGUGCAGCACAGAUGCGGUGUGCGUGGGGAGGGGGUCGCCUGGGAGCGCAUUGCGGAGUGCUUGUGUGUGCAGAUUUUUCUCUGGGCUCAGGACUCAUUGUAUGUGGGUCAACACCUUCCUCCGUGACUGUGUUUUUGUUCUGAGCUGAGUUUUUUGGUUUGCCCUUAAAAAAAUAAUAAUUUGGCAUCCAGAGACUGGCAGACUGCCUCAGGGCCUGGACUGCGGAUAUAUUGUGUUCUGCUUGAGGUUUGGGGAGGAGGGCAGGCGGUAGGAAGGGAGAGGGGGAGCUGUUUGUCACACUUUGCUGUAGAGCUGAGAGCACCUGACAAGCUUAAGGAAGUCGUUGGGCUAUGUGGACAAGAAGGAGCCAGCUCCCAGCGGGUUCACAAGCUCUAUCGGAGUUGAAAGCGUGGUCAUGGCUCUAAGGAGCACCUCACGCCCUCCCUGUAGCUGUUAUUGCAGUUUCAGGCAGAGAUCCAGGAGCUGCAGAGGAAGGGAGAGGCACAAUAACCUACAUGGACCCAAGGGAGACAUGUGUUCCUUUAAAAAUGUGAACAGAAGGAAAAACAGAAUGUGUGCAACUGGGGGUCUGAGGAAAGACUGUUUUGAAAGAGGCUGUCAGGGAAUGGAAAGGGUUAAGCUUUUCAUCCUGAAGAACCUGCUUCCCAAAUCAGGCCUUCCUCCCAUCACUAGACCCUGAGCAGCAGCUGGUCCUAGAGACCCCCCUCGUACUGCGCUGCCACAGUCUCAUCCCAUUUCCAGCUCUGUAUUAACCACCAAGCUGCAGCGGAUGGGGCAAGACCUAAGCUCAUUAAUUUCCAGGUGGAGGAAAUGGAGGAGGGGCAGGUCCCUGCAGUAGAGGGAGGAGCAGAGAAAGGAGGCCAAGAGCUGGAUCCUUCUGCCCAGGAAGCCUGCUGCAUCCCUUCCCCCGAGCAUGGCAGAGGCCUGGCUUUGCAAGGCCAAGGCCAUAAGGGAUGCUUAGGAGAUUAAUUUGAUUCCUGACACAAUAAUCAAGCCCUAAGAGUCUCCACUGAAGCUUACUGAGGACUUCUUUCCUCUCCAAAGCCUCAGUCUAGCCUGCUAAAUAAAUUAGUAUUCAGUGAUGCCUUGGAUCAGGGCCCCUCCCCGGCCUCAGUUUCCCCAAAUAUUUAUUAAGUACCUACUGUGUGCAAUCCUUGUGUAAUUAUUAACUCUUAGGCUCUUCAUUUGCCCUCCUAAAGCAGUGUUUAGAGUCAGGCAGAGGUUAAGUGUGUUGCACCUCACCUAGAUACUUCCAGAACCUUCUCUGGGUCUGCAGAAUGUGGCACAACCUGCUUGCCCCCGCAGAGAGAAAGCUGCAGUGCACAUCCUGCAGACUGCAGGUGCUGGGCUGCCUCUGGAGUCCCAGAAGGCAAGCUUGGCUGCAGGACAGAAAGGGAGAACAGCUUCUCUCACCCCUGAGCCUUCACAAGCCCUUGUCUAUUUGCCGUUGCCUUCAAAAUAUACCUCCCCCGAAACCAGUAGCUUUCUGAGUCCUGGUGUCCCCUCCGCCCUUUCUGGACAGGUUUGGGAAGAAGAAAGCAGUCAGUGCUGGGCCUUAUUGGGGUGUGAAGCGCCUUGCUCUGCCCCUUCUGCUCACUGUGAAGGCCGCUGGAUGCUUCUCUUAGGCAUGGUUUAAGCCUCCGAUUACUAAACCCCUUGCCCCACAAACGUCCACAUUGACGAGCCUCUUUUUAGUAACUGCUUCCCCGUAAUUCCUUCAGAGGUUGCUGUACCCUUCGCUGAUGUGCUGCCCUCCUGUAAAACCUCCAGAUGCCUUCCCACGUAAUGCCCCUUUCAGAUGCUUUAAGCUGAGAGCUUAAACCACAGGUACCAUGGCUGACGCCUGCCAGGUUUCUGCUGCAGAUAAUCUAUGAUGGGAGGGGCAUAUUUUUUACUUCAUUACUUAUGUAAACUCUUGUUCCAGAAAGCUUUAAUGUGUGUGGGAGUGUUCUGGGUCUAUUAGGUCUGUGCGCAUGGGUGUGGGCAUUUGCCUGUGUCCACCGGGUGGGUCUCAUUAUGAAAUGUAUGUUUAUGUAGGGCUUUAAUGGCUGAAAAUGGCAAAGAGAUGAAUAGACCACUUGGCCCCAUGUGUAAUUGCCAGGCCCCUUCUGUGCUCAAAUGAGGUGUCCGAGUGAAGGUCAGCCCUUCCCUUCUGUAUUUGGGGCCUAUUUAUGCCACCAGUAAUUUUAUAAGAAAUCUGAAUAGUUCUCCCCUUUGAGUGCAUUUAACUCUUUAGUAUCUUCUCUCUUACCUAUUUGAGCCCCUCUAGCUACAGUCUGGCUUAAAUGAAAGGGGAAUUAUAUGCUUAAGAAAAAGUAGGACACGGUUGAGGCAGUUUGCUGACUGAAUACGCGAAGAAGGACCUGAUGGGCUCAUAUGCACCACUGCCAUCACAGUCCCCAUCGUGAUGCAAGCUUAUAUGAUUCUUGAGAAACAGCCCAGAUCUCCUCUUAAGCGGAAAAGAGAUUGACCUUCUAGCAGAGGCAAAGGUAAACUCCUGGCCCACGAGUCAACAUGAGGAGUUGUGCUGGUGGUAUGUGUGUUGGAGGCUGGGCUGGCUGAUUCACAGUGACGAGGAUGUCAAUAAUAACAAGAAUGAGAAUGAUGGUACCUAAUAAAGACUUUUUUUCCCAA
rnacentral:lncRNA from 1 species